rnacentral:tRNA from 1 species
AGCCCCGUCGUCUAGCGGCCAAGGACCACGGGCUUUGGACCCGUGUACAUCGGUUCGAAUCCGGUCGGGGCUA